GAUGAAGAACGUAGCGAAAUGCGAUAAGUAGUGUGAAUUGCAGAAUUCAGUGAAUCAUCGAAUCUUUGAACGCACAUUGCACCCCUUGGUAUUCCGUGGGGCAUGCCUGUUCGAGCGUCAUUUGUACCUUCGAGCUCUGCUUGGUGUUGGGUGUUUGUCUCGCCUCUGCGUGUAGACUCGCCUCAAAACAAUUGGCAGCCGGCGUAUUGAUUUCGGAGCGCAGUACAUCUCGCGCUUUGCACUCAUAACGACGACGUCCAAAAGUACAUUUUUACACUCAUGACCUCGGAUCAGGUAGGGAUACCCGCUGAACUUAAGCAUAUCAAUAAGCGGAGGA
rnacentral:misc_RNA from 1 species